AUUGAACGCUGGCGGCAGGCCUAACACAUGCAAGUCGAGCGAGCGGCGGACGGGUGAGUAAUGUAUGGGGACUGCCCGAUAGAGGGGGAUAACUACUGGAAACGGUGGCUAAUCCCACAUACUAUCGGAUAACCCAUAUGGGAUUAGCUAGUAGGUGGGGUAAAGGCUAACCUAGGCGACGAGAUCUAGCUGACCUGAGAGGAUGAUCAGCCACAUGUGGACUGAGACACGGCCCAGACUCCUACGGAGGCAGCAGUGGGGAAUAUUGCACAAUGGGCGCAAGCCUGACGCAGCCAUGCCGCGUGUAUGAAGAAGGCCUUAGGGUUGUAAAGUACUUUCAGCGGGGAGGCGUUACCCGAAGAGGAAGCACCGGCUAACUCCGUGCCAGCAGCCGCGGUAAUAC
rnacentral:rRNA from 1 species